GAUGAACGCUAGCGGCAGGCUUAAUACGUGCAAGUCGAGGGGCAGCAGUCCCGUAGCAAUACGGGAGCUGGCGACCGGCAAACGGGUGCGGAACACGUACGCAACUUUCCUUCAAGUGGGGAAUAGCCCAGGGAAACUUGGAUUAAUACCUCGUAAUAUUAUGAAGUGGCAUCACUUUAUAAUUAUAGCUCCGGCGCUUGAAGAUGGGCGUGCGCCUGAUUAGGUAGUUGGCGGGGAACGGCCACCAAGCCUACGAUCAGUAACUGGUGUGAGAGCACGACCAGUCACACGGGCACUGAGACACGGGCCCGACUCCUACGGGAGGCAGCAGUAAGGAAUAUUGGGCAAUGGACGCAAGUCUGACCCAGCCAUGCCGCGUGGAGGAUGAAGGUCCUCUGGAUUGUAAACUUCUUUUAUCUGGGAAGAAAUCCAUAUUUUCUAAUGUGGUUGACGGUACCAGAUAGAAUAAGCACCGGC
rnacentral:rRNA from 1 species